GCGGUCGUUAAUUUUUUUUAUCACAAAUACUAAUGGUCGCAAAACGGGCACUAAUUUGCGACCACUUGUUGACGCUAAAUAACGUCGUAUAUAAGCGACCAAUUUGCAACAUUUAUGUUCGCUGACAGAGACUGCUUGGAUGUCAAAUACGGGUUGAAAAUCCUUGAAAACAGAUCUCUCAUAGAAAUAGAGAUAUCUAGAUAUGGGGAUCGAAUAGCGAUGCACAAGUUACUGCAACAAGUUGGUAGAAAUAUCGCUCAUAAAGAAGAACCUUGGAAACAAUGGAUCUUAACAGAUGCUCCAGAGAUUUGUGAUGUCCUCGAACAUGACACAGGUACUAGAGCUAUGUCCGGCAUAUCAUUUGAUAUAUCUGAUAUUGAUGAAGUAUAUCUAUAAGAAAAGAAGCUUUUAAAAGAAUGCCUAAUCUUCGAUUCCUCAAAGUCUACAAAAGUAGAGAUGAUGGGAAUGAUAUAAUGCAUGUACCUGAUGGGAUAGAGUUUCCGCGUCGUCUAAGGUUACUAAAUUGGGAGGAGUACCCAAGCAAGAGUCUUCCUCCGACAUUUAAUACAGAACAUCUUGUCGGACUCUAUUUGCGAGAAAGCCAACUUGAGAAGCUAUGGGAAGGAAUCGAGGUUGGUGUUGUGCUAUAAAUAUAUGAAUAUAUAUGUCAUUUUCUCUUCAAGUAUGCUCAUUCUCUCUCUCUCUCUCUCUCUCUUAGUGCCUUAAGAAUCUCAAGGAGAUGGAUCUGUCUAAGUCUAAGAAUUUGAAGGAACUCCCGGAUGUUUCAAAUGCUACGAAUAUAGAGAGAUUGUUACUGAAGGAUUGCAAGAGUUUGGUAGAGAUCCCAUCAUCGUUUUCACAUCUUCAUAAACUAGAGAGGUUGGAUACAAGUGGAUGCAUAAACCUACAAGUCAUUCCAGCUCAGAUGAACUUGGCAUCCCUUGAAUGGGUCCAUAUGAGAGGAUGCUCAAGAUUGAGAAAAUUUCCAAUUAUUUCAACGCACAUCAAAGAUCUGAUUGUAUCAAACAACACAAAGUUAGAAAAUGUGUCGGCAUCAAUUGCCUCGUGUUGUCGUCUUCAGACUCUCGAUAUGAGCUACGGUGACAAGCUCAAGGGAAUAACACAUCUCCCUACUAGUUUAACAAAUAUGUCGCAUCAACGGCAAGGACAAGAAGUUGAUCAUAGAUUCAUAGGCGAUGCCUCCAAAUUUUGAAGGGAACAUCUAGUUAUAUUUCACUCCUUGUCCUUGCCAUUACGUAUCGACCCCUCUGAAGCAUGCAGAGAGAUGGUGGUGGUAUUCGAAUUCAGCAGCAAAUACCGACUAGACUUCGACAUUAUUGAAUGUGGUGUCAAGAUCUUGACCCCACAAAACAUCAAAAGGGAUUACGACCUAGUGUUUGAAGACGACGACAAUGACGUACAAAUGGAGUAAUAAGUGACUCCGAAGAUAAUGUCGUCUAGAUCUUGACGGACGAAACCGACGGAAGCAACAAUGGAGGAUCUGGCAAUAGCCACACGUGUUCACCAGAAUCUGAAUCUGAGGAAGAAGACGACGAUGACGAGGGCUACAAAGAAAAUGUUUUUAGCUAAAUAAUUUGGCAUGUAACUAAGCUAAUCGAAGAAAAUGUUUCCUCUUGUUUAGUUCUAGCCUACAGUAUAUAGUUAGUGUUUUACUAAACGUACCCUGCGUUCAAUAAAGAAAAUUAACGCAAGCAUUUAUUGUAAUAAUAGUAAAACUCAUAAGCAGAGGCAAAACAAUCUGUGAUUGUUUUAAUAUAAUCCCACUGCUAAUUUCAGUAGCUAAAAUAAAA